CUCGCGUGGGGGGGGAGUGCGUGGGCUGGGCCCACCCGUGUCACUUGGGGGGCAUCCAGCGAGCCUCCAGGCCCGGCCUUGCUCGGGUAGGAAACCGGAGCGGCGCGUCCACACGGGCCGGGGUGGGGCGGCGGAGGGCAUCGCCGCUGGAAAUGCCCCGCGGAGGCGGGUCGAGCCCGGGUGAGUGGUGCCCCGCGCCCCGGGGCCGCCCUCCCCUUAGACGGGUCCCGCCGGGCCCUGGCGGCCGGGGAGGCGCUUGGCGCCAGGCGGCCGCGGCUGCACAGGAAAGCCCCGGCUCUUGUCACUUCGCAUUGACCCCAAAAUCCUCAAGCCGCGCCCUGCGCGCCGGGGCGGGGGGAGGCCAGCCCCCCGGAGCCCCCCGGCGGCUCCGCUCCCCUGCACCGAGCCUGACCCCGGAGCAGCCCGGGCCGCCUCGAGGGGACGCCCCGUCCUGCCCCCCGCCAGCUGCCCUCUGGGUGCCUGGGUCGCCUGUCGACAUCAGCCCAGGCUUCAAGCGUGAGAGGAGCGUGCAGCGGUGGCGUCAACGCUCAUUGCACGCAAAGGAGACCCGGGCCCGAAAUAUCUCCUCUCUGAACUUUGCCUCCUCUUGGGUCAGCCCGGCGGCUCUCAAGAUGCGUUUCCUCUGGAUGCCCAAACUCAGUCUCACCUUACGCCAGGACGUCUUCCGUAAAUCCGUCCUCACUUCUCGACUCAGACUCUGAGCACCGGUGGGAAGGAAAGGGGAGCGGGGAGCACCCGCAGCCUGGCAGAAAAGGAGCCGCUGCUUGCGAGAGCUGCAGGGCAUCAGAUACUCCUGCAGCCGUCUGGGGCUGACCCGAAAUGCUGGCGGCCAGAUCUGGACCUGAAGGACGGCAGCCACGCUGAAACAGCAGGAUGUGGGAGAGAAUUCAGUUGAGACGGUGGCUCCUAUCUGUACGCCCCCCACCAAGGUACUUCUGCCAGCUUCUCGCUGGGCGUUGCACCGGGGCUGUUUAUAGCAAGAGGCGCUGAAAACCAGCGUCUGUUCCCAUCACGUGAGAUUCGGCAGCACUCAGGAGCCAGCUGGGAGAAACCAGAACGGAUCCCCUUCCGUUCUUACCUACCACGCGCGCCUGAUCCUCGCCGUCCUGUCUCAUCCGACUGCAAGCCGAAGCCUCUGUUGUAUUAAGCGUGGUGACAAAUUGGACGGGGGUCCUCGCUGCGGUCCUCAGGGCUGUGGGAGUGCCUCCGAUUGCUCAACAGUGACCCCUCUCUCAGCCUCCGACUCCACCAGGGAGAUGCAAAUUAAAAUGCCUUUCUGCAUGUUCACAACACCUACCAGUCCGCACGUUACUGAGCAGCACUCUGUUUCCCCCCUUCGCUGGGAAGAGUGGCACGCUGCCCAAACGUCUCCGAGGAAAUAUGCAGUUGCUCGUUUUAAAACACGGCCAAAUCGGCGAACGAAGUUGAGAGCAGAGGAGCCUGCAAGCUGGAAAUAACUCUUGUGUGAAGUCUCAAAGAGUUAAUGUACAACCAAGGAAUUCCUCUAGCCACGUCCCACGGAAAAAGCAACUUAAGUCAUUUCAAGCUCUUCAGGUUCAGUCUGAUGUUAGGGCGCAGCACAGCAAGGAUAAGGAGCGAUGGCUAGCUGCUGGUUUUUUUUUUCCAUGGUCUUCACCUGCAUUUGAAUGGGCAGCCAGCAGCCCUUCCCAAGCGUGGCCUAGAUUUGUCAGGGCAAGACGUGGCCACCACGUAAUUUAAAUGGAGCGUUAGAUCUCUUACGCUGCUUUAAAAAAUGUGCAUAAAGCAGCCCCUGAGUCCUGUGCAAGAGGGAGCUCAGACCUGCAAGAGGAUGGAGAAUUACGGGUGCAAUUCCAGCCUCCCGCCCCUGUGUGCUUCCCGCUGUGCAGGCGUGCACGUGCAUGGGGGGAGGAAAGCCACCGAGUCUUUCUGUCUCCUGAUGAUCGUCUUCAGAUGCGGUUUCUGCCUGGCCACCCAGCCUCAGUCUGAAGCACUUGCUGGGAAGGUCUCCAGAGGAAGACACCCUGACAGGGGAUGGAUGAAGCUGGAAGAUGGGACGCUCCCUCCUGGGAUAGUGUUGGGGAAGCUGUGGGCAUUCACAGCCCUAUUCAGCGUACGGGGGAAGGCCGCCCCUCGAGUCCCGGGGCAGCGCGACGGCCUGGGCUACCUUUCUUGGCAACUGUACGCAUUUGUGUAAGAUGCUUUGCAAAUCCCUUAUCUGAACCAGGAAUGCACAGACCGAAGGGGCCUGUCCUAAACUUUUCCAGAACCCAAGCUGCAGUAUUACUCCGCUUGCUUCUCACCCCAUAAAACAAUCCCAGAAAAAGGCACCGACUGGCCCUUAAACACGAACACCAGCAGCAAUGCACGGAUACAAACUUAGGGCCUGAUGCAAAGCCUCUUUAAAGGAGGCUGCCUCAUCAACUUCAAAGGGUUUCGCAUCGGGCCCUGAUAGAGAAAUCCUGGACCCACUGCCAUUAAUGGCAAAACUCCCAAUGACUUCAAAGGGGCAGAAUUUCACUCCUACUCAACAACUGUGAAUGGCUGUUUUAAAACGCUCGCCCAUUGUACUACCUGUUUCUAUCAGCAGGGGAAAAAAACAAUUCCCUCUUUAUGGGGCUGUGCAGCAUGCCAAGUGAGAGAUCACUUUAGAGACUUAAAGAAGCAGAGGCUUUUUGCUAUUUAUGAGGGAAGAGUGCCCCGGGUAACUGAAUCUCGGAGAACCAGGAUCCCGCUAAUGUACGAGGAACCAUAAAGUGAAACGUUAGAAGUUGGCUAGCAGCAAACGCGAGGCAGACUCAUCUACCUUCGUUGUCUCCCAUGAACGAAGUGCAAAAAAAGGUAAAUAAACCAGAAGGGAAAUGUCUUUUCCACUCUGGUUUUUAAAACAUUUAAUCUCCCUCCAAUCUAUGCACUACCACGGCAUUUGGUGUCAUACUAGCAAAACGGGGAGAAUUUUUUUUUUUUUUUAAGAAAUCCCUUUAAACUCAAUGGCAGCCUUGGCAAAGGAGGCUGAGGCCCUCUGACCUAACGAGGGCCCGAGAUGAGGGUUUCUUUUGAAAUUCCCAUCUAAAACCACCACCUGUGCGGCAGUAUCCUAUGGCCCAAAACAAACUCCACGUCUGCUGAAAUGGUGUCACUUCAGCGGGGCUGAUUUUUCCACUUGCAGAGCACUUCAAGAAUUAUCUCUGCAUUUUUUUUGUUGUUGUCAAGGGACAGUAGCAUCAAAUAUUUAGUGAUUAUAAACAGAGCAGAAUAAAAAAAAAAAAAAAGCAACUGCCUGAAACGAGAGCUCAGGAUCUGAUUUCUUCUAACCGGAUGCCUGCAAGAUGUCACUGAAUUCUCUCUCCAUGCAACCCGCGUGGAGCCAAUAUGAACUCCCAGCAAAGUGCUUAAAAACCCAUUAUUUAUAAUAACUGUUAAAUGAUGAGACAUUGUUUACCCAGAUCGCAAGAUAAAUUCUCACUUACAGAAUGCUUGUCUGACUGUCCUGAACAUCAUCUGGUUUUUAUUUAAAUGCAAAAUGUAAUUACUCUCAAUAACACAGCAGAAGAAUUCAAUAAGAUAUGGCUUUGCACUUAUGGUUUAAUAUUAACAUUUCCCCAUAAACGUUAAUGAAUAAAAGUCUACUGCUGUAUAUUUUACAUGCGAUUGAGAGGAAGGGAGGGAGGGAAAUAUUUUCAUAUCUGGAGCGCAACACUGAAUUCAGGGGAGCUCAGGGUUUUCAGACCCUGGCUGAGACAGCACCUCCUGCCGGCAUCAGACUCAAAGCGCCACAUCCAGAAAAGACAGAUCCCAAGCGUUCAAGAAGUGGCAGGAGGUAGCACGAGGCUGAAUGACUGCGUCUGUAAGUAAGGCCUCCGUUGAGAGAAAUCACUCUGGUCUUUUCCUCGUCUCUGUUGUGCACCUAGUACCAUCAGCACUGGACCGUCUGCUGCCUGGACUACAGCAGCACUUACAGUCUGCUCCCACUGGUCUGGGUACGCCCGCGAUGGACGCGGUCUCCUUGUGUGGCCCCUUUGAGACGUACCUCCAACAGCAGGCGCCCCGCAGUAGCCUGCCCACUUUUGGGGCACCCGUGCAAAAGGGUUGCCCCUUGGUGAGAGGGUUCUGGCAGCCGCUUUGCACGGUUUAAGCAAGAUCCAUAGAGCAGAGGAGCCCGCUCGCCCGAGUGUCCUCAGGCAAAAGACUGCUAAGGGCGUGACUCUUCACUGCAUUACUGAACAGCAAUGAUGUUGGUGCAGCGGGUUCAACGGAUGCAGUGAUGUACACCGAAGGUAGCACUGGGAUGAACUAGGCCCACGGCACUUAAGGAGCAUGUUCUUUGCUGAUCUCAAAUUGCUUUGCUAAAUGGGGAUUUGUCCCCAUUCUACAGCCGACAAAACCAAGGCGCACAUGCUUGCCUGACAGCAGAAAACAGGUCAGUGCCAGAGCUGGAAUCAGAAGGUCGGUCCCCUGACACCCCUCCCACCGUGCCACGAUGCUGCCAGCAGCACGUGCCAGCUAGUAGAUGGCAUACGCACACAUUGCUGCUGCUGAAAAAUUCAUGCUCAUGUGUGGGAGGGUCAGCCUCGGCCCGCAGGACCCGUGCGCCAGCUUUGCCUUCACCCCUCUAUCACACUGCCACCCAGAAUAGGAUUUGGCAUAUAAAACACCUGUAUACACUUCCAUCUGAUUCAGACACUGGAUGGUCGGGGCCAUUUACGCCUAUCUAGAAACAUAUAUUUCCCCUACCCCAUGCUGCAUCCUACAUGCAAACGCUUGCAAGAGGCUUCGAAAGAAUUGUGGGGAGCAGAGACGGGAAAAGCCCUCUUAGACAAAGCAGUCCAUUGCACGUGGCUAGCGCAGAAGUGGCCCCCAUCUCAUUUCCAGAGCUUUGGCUUUGGCUUGUAAAGGGAAGGUUUAAUAAAAUGAGAGCUUUUCAACCCAGGCAGCGCGGUUCAAAAAAAGAACUUAGAGGCCUACUAAAACCCGGCAGGUUUGGGGAACAUAGAAAUAGGCUUCAUUAAGUAGCAAAUGCCUUCCAAGGGCCUGAUGCAACAAAAAGGCCCUUGCAGGAUGAGACACACGAGAGCACCUCUGUGCUCCUGUUCGCACUGAAAUCAAUGUCAAGAGCCCCAAGGAUGCAAAAAAGCUUGUUGCUUUAAAAGGUCCCCAGUGCACAUCAACACAGAUGAGCAAAGCCAAGCUAAAAGGCAGGCUGCUUACCAACUCAGAUGAAAUGCUGGUGUCUUGUGGUAAGGAAAAUAAUUUACUUAAUCGCUUAAAAAAAACCCAACAACAACAAAUCUCUUAGGAGAAAGUCAAUUGUUUGCCGGCUAACUGCUCUGAGACAAAGCAACGGAAGGGAAAUGUCCAGUUCCAAUCAUUUCGUAACCCGAUUACAGCCCGCACAGAAGAGCUGAAACACUUGGAGAACAAUGAUUAAGAAAUUAAGCUUCAAAUUAAGUGUGCGUCCUAUAUGGGCCUGCUUCUUCCUAUGAUACCGGAAAGGACACGGCUGGGCUCGUUCCACGCGCGAGCUGGCGAUGCGAGCGUACAGCCCAGCGAUGAAUCAUCUCAGACAUUUCCCGACCCCCCCCCCCCCCGCCAUCCCACCAUUUCUUUCUCCAAGAGGAAUGACAAAUCUAGAAAUGGCACUGCACUUUGUUUCAUGACGGUAUCGAUUUUCCUGCACAGGAAAAGUGCAUUUGUCCUCUCCGCCCGCAGGCUGGCAAGAAAGGGUUAACCAAAUGUUUAUCACAAGGCUGGCUUCAGAGUUGAAAGUAAUGUGAUCAGUAAUGAAUUUUGUGUUACAUUAGGUUGUAUAAAUGGACAGACAAGCGCAGACAACAAGUGGCCAGGAGUCGGGGCUAAUCUAAUGAUGUAAAAAUAGAGACAGCACCAAUUAUACUUGGGGCCAGCUCAGAGCUCCUGCAGGGACUGCAAAUGAAUAGGUACAAAUCAAAUUACUGACUAAUAGACGCACUACAAGAGAGGGCAGUCAAUGCUAAAUGCAUUAGGGCCUUGUGACCUCCCUGCUCUGAACAGCAGAAUCCUAAAUUUGACUUAAAAAAAAAAAAUCAAAGAAACUCUUGUUCAGUUAAGAAGAGAGAUACAACAAUGUGACUUGUGAAAUGAUUUAAAAUGUUCACAUUUCCCCCCACCCCGUCCCUUUGUUAGGAUAUUCUGUAUGGCUCGGGCAUUGCUUCAAACCUUUUUCCAAUCUGACCCAGGGUUUUUGCUUUGUCAAAACAUGGAGAAAUAGUCUUUGUGCAAAAGUUAAGACCUGAGAACAAUACAGUUAUGUUACAUACCAAAACAUUUCAAAGCCAUGUGCCUCUUUGUGGAGAUGUUUUUUACUGCUACUUCAACGGCUGUGUCUGCAUCAAAAAUAAAAUAGGUCUUUAAAAAAAAACCCUUUAAAAAAAAAAAAGAAAGAAAAAAGAAAACGGACUUUCCCCCAAACAACAAGCGAUUAGCAAGAAAUGCAGUUGACCGCCACCUUAUUGAAUGGUAGACAGCCACAUUGCUCUCUUGGCAUUUGGACCCUCUUUGGAAGCGUCCCGACACUCACGGCUGCUUCUCCGAAUGGCAACGCACCCAAUUGCACAUUGAAAACAUUUCAGUAUCAACACUGCCUCCCUUCAGAGCUCCCCUCAAUAACCCCAAGGAAACUUCAGUCAAAAGAUACUGUCGCUGUUUUCCAAGGUCUGCGCAUCUAACGGGAGCUUGGGAGGAAAUGGCUCGUUUGGCAGACUAUGACUGGAGCGUCCCCGGCAGGUUUCAAAGCAGCUGAUAGCCAAGAGUCCCCGGAUUUGGAAACAGUCAUAUCAUUAAAAAUGCCUCUGUUGGCCUGGCA